GCCAGACUCCUACGGGAGGCAGCAGUGGGGAAUAUUGCACAAUGGGGGGAACCCUGAUGCAGCGACGCCGCGUGGGUGAAGGAGUAUUUCGGUAUGUAAAGCCCUAUCAGCAGGGAAGAACAAUGACGGUACCUGACUAAGAAGCACCGGCUAAAUACGUGCCAGCAGCCGCGGUAAUACGUAUGGUGCAAGCGUUAUCCGGAUUUACUGGGUGUAAAGGGAGCGCAGGCGGCGCGUUAAGCCUGGUGUGAAAGCCCGGGGCCCAACCCCGGGACUGCUCUUGGAACUGCGUGGCUGGAGUGCAGGAGGGGCAGGCGGAAUUCCUGGUGUAGCGGUGAAAUGCGUAGAUAUCAGGAGGAACACCGGUGGCGAAGGCGGCCUGCUGGACUGCAACUGACGUUGAGGCCCGAAAGCGUGGGGAGCAAACAGGAUUAGAUACCCUCGUACU
rnacentral:rRNA from 1 species